GACAUAUGUUGCCGGAACGUUUCGGAUCGGCACACACCCCAUCAAACACUGCUGAGUCCAGCAUCAAGGCGCAGCACAUGGGGGGCUGAGCCUAACCCAGGCAGUACAGGGCGCCAGGCUGUGGACGCUCUGAAAGGAUGGCAGUGAAUCACUGGGCUCAAACACGUAAGAAGGUAGGAAAAAGGACUGUGUGAUGGAGAAAAAGGAAUCAAAUGCCAACGUUCUGGAUGUCCUGUUGUACUUAUAUUCCGGCUCGGUCUGGUUCCGAAAGUUUAACAGCUCAGAGGAAACAAUCUUAUUCCAAGCCACCCCAGGCCCCAGCAGGUCCCAACAGUCACUACUGCACUUCAGGGACCCACUCCAGCUGCACUUACCUCCUUCAACCAACCAGUGGUCCCAAACGACACCACAAAGCAACGUGGUCAAGAGGCACUCAGACGUGAGGCUAGCCAUCUCUCUGCCUGUUCAGCCUCGAGCCACUUCUAACUUCAGACAGUUCGACUGAAUUCCCAGAAUGCCUCAGCGAGAGAACUGUGCAUUUUGAUUCACAGCCUAAUGGCUGACGUCACAUUUCUAGCCGAGAAAACAAUUAUGGAAAACAAAACAACACGAGGACGAAGGCACAGCAUGCUUCCCCCUGCCGGGACAGCUCGGCGAACGGGAGGCAGCCUGCGGGCACUGGGAGUACAGAGCAGGCAGCGUUCUGUAGAUAUGUUAUCAUAUUAAAGCAUUCAGAAAGGGCAGUCACAUGCCCAGCCACGUUAACAGAGACUCUGUUUCAUGGUGACUAUGUACCUAUUGACUCGAUGUGGCCCAGUGUCAACACCUAUUGGCACAAUUACAAGUACGGAUCUGAUGAAGCUGAUGUCAAAGCUUCUUCGGGCUGUUUUCCAGUGGACCAGGUACUGUAUCACUGGUACCGUGUAGGGCGCUUUCAGAAAGCUGCAGUGUGUUGGUUUUAACUGCUGCAAAAAUUGGUACCAGCUACGAAUGAUAUCACAAUGCGCUUGUAUCACGUUUAUCACGUUUGUAUUGUGUUGUACUGAGUUCAUGUAAAUGCUGUAUAUUAAUAUACUAAUAUUAUCCUUAUUAUUAUUAUUAUUAUCAUUAUUAUUAAUAUUAUUAUUAUUACAAUGCGGGUAUUUUGUACUGGAUUCUAAAAAUGGCUGCAGUAUAUUAUAGGGCUGGACGAUGCGAUAUUCAUACCAACAUCGCAUGUUAUGUAUGUGCAAUUCUUACGUUGCUAGUCAGCUAGAUUAAGAUUAAGGCUUUUUCUUACUUUCAAUUCUGUACGGACAUUAUAGCACAGCGAGUUUAGGUUUUGCUAUAACAUUUUUACUCUGUCAUAGAAAAAAAUCCUUAGCUAGCUUUGCGAUUUUAAUUAUUGUUCCUUUUAUAGACUAAUAUAUGUUUAAAAAUCAGAUUAAAGUUCACCUAAAGGUUACCGGUUCUUUUGCAUGGGUGCUGCAUGCGUUCUCCGGCACGAGCAUAAUCAUUUUCAUCCUUGCUGCUUUAAAGCACUCCUAGGCGGGUUUGUGAGAAAUUUACAAACUCCUUUUUGCUUUAUAAAUAUUCCAAUAUUUAUUACAAUAAAAUGAUAUCCCUAUACUUAUAAUAAAAUCACAGGCUAUGUGCAUGGCCGACUGACAAGGAAAGCGUUUCAAGUACCAAAAGUUCUGAAGGACCAAAGAAAUACCCCAGCUGGUUUGGGACUUUUGGUACUGGUGCUCGACCAGAAGUCAAUGGGAGAGUGAAAGCAGCAAAGGCACCGUACUAAAAGUGCGGUACUUGGUGCGGUGGAAAAGCACGCUUGGGCUAUACUUUCCUCUUGCAAUACCCAUCCCAGCCAGGAGGAGGCCUCAGGACACACAAAAGCCUCCAAAAGCUCAGUGGCUCAAGCCCCAGUUACUGUCGUUGUGCCUUUCAAUAACAUACUGAAGCAGAACACGAACGAGGUGCGGAUAAGGAUGCACCUCCUACCUUGA